UACGUAGGGGGCUAGCGUUGUCCGGAAUCAUUGGGCGUAAAGCGCGCGUAGGCGGCCAGAUAAGUCCGGUGUGAAAGUCACAGGCUCAACCUGUGAAUGCCGCUGGAAACUGUCUGGCUAGAGUCCGGAAGGGGCGAGUGGAAUUCCUGGUGUAGCGGUGAAAUGCGCAGAUAUCAGGAGGAACACCAAUGGCGAAGGCAGCUCGCUGGAACGGUACUGACGCUGGGGCGCGAAAGCGUGGGGAGCGAACAGG
rnacentral:rRNA from 1 species